rnacentral:lncRNA from 1 species
CCUGCAUUUAUGGGACACACACUGCUUACCUGGUGCUGGAAAAUUGGUGGGUUGAUGACCCUAGACACAGAGAGCCAGGCAGUGUCAGGCUCCCAGUGGAAACCACAGAUGUACCUCCUGUAUCUAUCAAAGGCCACAGAGCUAGUAAGUAGCACUGCGAAUACUCUUAGGUCUGAUUGAUUCCCAAUCCACAUGGUCAUCCUGUUCCUUUGAAUGUCACAAAGACUUAGUAGCAGAUACUGUUCAGCCA